GGAAGUGGUAGCUCAGCAGUUAAAACGUCGGACUUCUGAUCGGACGGGUAUGGGUUCAAAUCCCAGCACUGCCA